UACGUAGGGACCAAGCGUUGUUCGGAUUUACUGGGCGUAAAGGGCGCGUAGGCGGCGCGGUAAGUCACUUGUGAAAUCUCUGAGCUUAACUCAGAACGGCCAAGUGAUACUGCAGUGCUAGAGUGCGGAAGGGGCAAUCGGAAUUCUUGGUGUAGCGGUGAAAUGCGUAGAUAUCAAGAGGAACACCUGAGGUGAAGACGGGUUGCUGGGCCGACACUGACGCUGAGUGCGCGAAAGCCAGGGGAGCAAACGGG
rnacentral:rRNA from 1 species